rnacentral:rRNA from 1 species
AAUCAACGCUGGCGGCGUGCCUAACACAUGCAAGUCGAACGCGAAAGCCCCGCAAGGGGUAGGUGGAGGGGAAACGGGGGGGUAACAAGGGGGUGAACCGCCUUCCGGUGGGGGAAUAAGUUCCCAAAGGGAACGCAAAUACGCCAGGACAUCUGCCUUUGAAAAAAGGGGAGGUAAAGCCGGGGGAGGCCAGUCCCUAUGGCUGAAGGGGGGGCCCGCGCCUGAUUAGCUAGUUGGGGGGGUAACGCCUCACCAGGGCGACGAUCAGUAUCCGGCCUGAGAGGGCGGACGGACACACUGGGACUGAGACACGGCCCAGACUCUUACGGGAGGCAGCAGUGGGGAAUUGUUCGCAAUGGGCGCAAGCCUGACGACGCAACGCCGCGUGGAGGACGAAGAUCGUCGGGUCGUAAACUCCUGUCGAGCGGGACGAACGCUUCGCGGAUGAAUAAUCCGCGGAAUUGACGGUACCGCUAAAGGAAGCCCCGGCUAACUCCGUG